ACAGAUAAAGCAGGGAUUUAAUAGGUAAGAAGGCAUUCAGGACCAUGCCCAGACAAUGGAAAUCCUCAGCUUGAAAGCUAGAGGGGCUUUGGUGGGAGCUGAGCAGAACUGGCUUUACAUGGAUACAGCCUAUCAUUCAAGUUGAGGGCCUUUUUUGCUACAAUCAUGGGUCAGCUCUUCUCUAAUAUGCCUAAGGAUGAAGACAAAGGAAUUUUGGAGUCCAGCUUCACUGAAUAUUUUAGGAAUUAUAAGCAAGAAACCAAAAUCAUUUCUGAGGAAACCACCCGUUCAAUAGAGUUAUGCCUGAAGAAGGGGGACAUUCAAAGGGCAAACUCUAUAAUCAGUGAUGCAUUAAAAAAUAUUGAUAAUGCCCCAAUAAAUAUUGCAGUGACAGGAGAGUCUGGAGCAGGGAAGUCCAGCCUCAUCAAUGCCUUGAGAGAGAUUAAAGCCGAAGAGGAAAGUGCAGCUGAAGUCGGGGUGACAGAGACAACCAUGAAGGUGUAUUCAUACAAACACCCCAAAGUUAAAAAUUUGACAUUAUGGGACCUGCCUGGUAUUGGAACUAAGAAAUUUCCACCGAAAACUUAUCUAGAAACAGUAGAAUUCAAAAAGUAUGACUUCUUCAUUAUUGUUUCUGCCACACGAUUUACAAACCAUGAAAUAGAACUUGCCAAAGCAAUCAGAAUUAUGAAAAAGAAUUACUACUUCGUGAGAAGCAAGGUGGACUUUGAUCUAUACAAUGAAGAGAAAUCCAAACCACGUAACUUUAACAGAGAAAAACACUCUGAAUCAGAUCCGAAAUUCCUAUCUGGAUACAUUUAGGGAGAGUAAAAUUGAUGAACCUCAGGUUUUCUUGAUCUCUAACCACGAUUUAUCUGACUAUGAUUUUCCAGUCCUGAUGGACACCCUGCUUAAGGACCUUCCUGCUGAAAAGCGCCACAACUUUCUGCUUUCCUUGCCUAAUAUAACUGAGGCAGCCAUUCAAAAAAAGUACAACUCUACUAAGCAGUUUAUCUGGUUGCAGGCCAUGAAGGAUGGACUUUUGGCGACUGUUCCUGUAGUGGGCAUUUUAAAGGACUUGGAUAAGGAGAGGUUGAAGAGGAGUUUAGACUACUAUCGUGACCUCUUUGGAAUCGAUGAUGAAUCCUUAAUGUUCAUAGCUAAGGAUGCCCAAGUGCCUGUCGAACUGCUGAAAAUAAAACUUAAAUCUCCUUAUUUGUUGGAACUUGAGGAGGAAACAUUAGGAGGAUUGAUUUUGAACUGUGUGGAGAAAUUUGCCUCAGCUAAUGGUGGGCUCCUGGCAGCAGGUCUUUACUUCAGGAAAACCUAUUACCUACAGUUUCAUUUCCUUGAAACGGUGGCUGAAGAUGCCAAAGUUCUCCUUAAAGAGGCAUAUUCAAAAAAAUAGCUCAAACUCAUUUUGCUGAUAGCUUCUGACAAUUACAAGACCAACUCGUUAAUACCAGGGAAUCAUUAGAUAAAUUCCCAUUCUGACAUCUUUUCGUUAUACUAGUCGAUCUACUGUAUCUAUGGAAGAAACCCCUAAGGAAUAGGGUCACAGGUUAAUACUAUGUCAGAACCUGACAAUCUCCAAUCCCUCUUCAACUGUUUAUAUUCCCUAAGACCUUUUUCUCUGUCUUUGAACUCCACAUACAUGCUUGAACACAAAUACAGAGAGAGAGAGAGUGAGAGAGAGAGAGAGAGAGAGAGAGAGAGAGAGAGAGCACACACCACAUAUACACAAACAUACAUACAGCACACCACAUAAACACAAACACACACGUUCACACACACACAAAUGCUGAGUUCGGUGUCACCACUACACUUCCUUAAAAUAAUUUUCUAUUGUAACCUCGACCUCUCUAGAACUUGUGGACAAUUAUUCCUUUUUAUUCUGUGCAUCCUGCUCUGAUGUGCUCAUUGCAUUUCACAAGGUACACACACACACACACACACACACACCUGAACAUUUCUUCUCCCCCUCAUUAUGCCUGUGUUAGAAAGUGACUUGCAUGAUUUACAGAUAUUAUUAACAAGAAGACUAUUAAGAACCAAAGUAAAAGAAACCAUGACCACCAAUCACAAGUUUACUAUUACCAAUCAAUUCUUCAAAUACCUAUCAGAAUCUUUCUAGAGGCAAAAAAGAACAUCUAUAAUUCUGUCCCAGGUCCCGUGGAGAACCCUGGAUUCCUUCUUUCUAUCAUUAUCUAUCUUGAUUAUGAUUGUAAAGAAAUGCUAUAAUAUUUAAUAAAUUGUUGAUUACAAA